rnacentral:rRNA from 1 species
UACGUAGGCAGCGAGCGUUGUUCGGAGUUACUGGGCGUAAAGAGUGCGUAGGCGGUUUUCUAAGUUUGGUGUGAAAUCUCCCGGCUUAACUGGGAGGGUGCGCCGAAGACUGGAAGGCUUGAGUAUGGGAGAGGUAAGCGGAAUUCCCGGUGUAGAGGUGAAAUUCGUAGAUAUCGGGAGGAACACCGGUGGCGAAGGCGGCGACCUGGGUAGAUACUGACGCUGAGGCGCGAAAGCGUGGGGAGCAAACAGG